AACACAGUUUUCAAAAGAUAUUUUUCUUUAUUUGACAAAAGACAUAGCAGAUGGCUUAAAAAGCCCCAUGCCACUUAAAAUUUUAGGAAAAGAUCUGUUAGUAUAUAAACAAUUUAAAGGCUGGGUGCAGUGGCUCAUGCCUAUAAUUCCAGCGCUAUAAUUCUGCCUCCCAGGUUCAAGCGAUUCUCCUGCCUCNNNNNNNNNNCUGCCUCCCAGGUUCAAGCAAUUCUCCUGCCUCAGCCUCCUGAGUAGCUGGGAUUACAGGUGUGUGCCAUCACGCUUGGCUAAUUUUUGUAUUUCUAG
rnacentral:lncRNA from 1 species